UACAGAGGGUGCAAGCGUUAAUCGGAAUUAUUGGGCGUAAAGGGUUUGUAGGCGGUUAAUUAAGUUAGAUGUGAAAUCCCCGGGCUUAACCUGGGAAUUGCAUUUAAUACUGGUUAACUAGAGUAUGGUAGAGGAGAGGGGAAUUUCCGGUGUAGCAGUGAAAUGCGUAGAUAUCGGAAGGAACAUCAGUGGCGAAGGCGCCUCUCUGGACUAAUACUGACGCUGAGGAACGAAGGCGUGGGGAGCAAACAGG
rnacentral:rRNA from 1 species